AUGGAUAUCAGACCAAAUCAUACAAUUUAUAUCAACAAUAUGAAUGACAAAAUUAAAAAGGAAGAAUUGAAGAGAUGCCUAUAUGCCCUGUUUUCUCAGUUUGGUCAUGUGGUGGACUUUGUGGCUUUAAAGACCAUGAAGAUGAGGGGCAGGGCUUUGUCAUAUUUAAGGAACUGGGCUCAUCCACAAAUGCUUAGAGACAGUCACAAGGAUUUCCAUUUUAUGGUAAACCAAUGCGAAUACAUAUGCAAAAACAGAUUUGGAUAUAAUAUCUGAAAUGUGUGGCACUUUUGCUGACAAAGAAAAGAAAAAAGCCAAAACUGUGGAACAGACUGCAACAACCACAAACAAAAGGCCUGGCUAGGGAACUCCAAAUUCAGCUAGUACCCAAGGAAAUUCAACACCAAAUCCUCAGGUCCUCGAUUACCCUCCAAACUAUAUUUUAUUCCUUAAUAACUUACCAGAAGAGACUAAUGAGAUGAUGUUAUCCAUGCUGUUUAAUCAGUUCCCUGGCUUCAAGGAAGUAUGUCUAGUACCAGGGAGGCAUGACAUUGCUUUUGUUGAAUUUGAAAAUGAUGGGAAGGCUGGAGCUGCCAGGGAUGCUUUACAGGGAUUUAAGAUCACAACAUCCCAUGCUAUGAAGAUCACCUAUGCCAAGAAAUAA
rnacentral:lncRNA from 10 species